rnacentral:sRNA from 1 species
CGAGUCCCGGCGCGCGUUCUGCUCCGCGCGGGUGCGAAACCCGGGGUGGGCAGGGAUCGGGCCUGGGCCGGGGCCAGGACCGGGAACUAACGGGCUCCCCCACGCUGCCUUCGCAGGGGCCCGGCUCCCGGGCGCGGCCCUCGGGCGGACGGAGCGGGCGGCCGGCGGCGGAGACGGCGCGCGGCGCUUCGGGAGCCGGCGGGUGCUGGUGGAGCCGGACGCGGGCGCAGGGGUCGCUGUGAUGAAAUUCAAGAACCCCCCAGUGAACAGCCUGAGCCUGGAGUUUCUGACGGAGCUGGUCAUCAGCCUGGAGAAGCUGGAGAAUGACAAGAGCUUCCGCGGUGUCAUUCUGACCUCGGACCGCCCGGGUAUCUUCUCGGCCGGCCUGGACCUGACGGAGAUGUGUGGGAGGAGCCCCGCCCACUAUGCUGAGUACUGGAAGGCCGUUCAGGAGCUGUGGCUGCGGUUGUACCAGUCCAACCUGGUGCUGGUCUCCGCCAUCAACGGAGCCUGCCCCGCUGGAGGCUGCCUGGUGGCCCUGACCUGUGACUACCGCAUCCUGGCGGACAACCCCAGGUACUGCAUAGGACUCAAUGAGACCCAGCUGGGCAUCAUCGCCCCUUUCUGGUAAGGCCCUGGGCUGCAGCCACGCUCCAUGCUUGUUGUGGAGGGAACAGACCCACCUGGGGCCACUUGGUGAGUGGGUGUCUGCGUUUCCAGGUUGAAAGACACCCUGGAGAACACCAUCGGGCACCGGGCGGCGGAGCGUGCCCUGC